rnacentral:rRNA from 1 species
GCUCAAUGAAAUUUAAAUUGCUGUAGUAUUUUGACUAUACAAAGGUAUUGUAAUAAGACUUUAAUUGAGUGCUAAAAGAAUGGAAUUACAAAAAAAGGCUUUUUUAAUUUUAAAAAUUAAAAUUAUUUUUUUUUGUGAAGAAACAAAAAUUUAAAUUAAAGACAAGAAGACCCUAAGAAUUUUUUUUUUUANUUAAAAUAAUAUNUUUAUUUUAAAAAUUUAAUUGGGGCGAUUAAUUAAUAUUAAAAACUUUAUUAACAAAAAAAANUGAUCCAUUAUUAAUGAUUAUUUGAUUAAAAUACUCUAGGGAUAACAGCGUAAUAAUUUUUGAUAGUUCUUAUAGAAAAAAUAGUUUGCGACCUCGAUGUUGGAUUAGGAUUCUUUUUUAAUGAAGAAGUUAAAAAAAGAAGUUUGUUCAACUUUUAAAUUCCUA